rnacentral:lncRNA from 1 species
UAGCCCGCCCACUGGUAGGCAGCAUUCAAUUCUUGUAUGCCUUUUCUCACUAACUGUUCUUUCUUCUGAAACAAAGAAGAAAUAGAUACAUCAGUCUUGUCCUCUUGGAAAUGUGGUCCAGAUUUCUCUACUCCCAAGCUCAGUGAUA